rnacentral:rRNA from 1 species
AGGUGGGCAAGUAGAGAAUACUAAGGUGAUCGAGAUAACCCUCGCUAAGGAACUCGGCAAAAUUGCCCCGUAACUUCGGGAGAAGGGGCGCCCCGGUAAGGUGACGAUCUUUACGGUCUGAGCCUGAGGGGGCCGCAGUGAAUAGGCGCAAGCGACUGUUUACCAAAAACACAGGUCUCUGCUAAGUCGUAAGACGACGUAUAGGGGCUGACGCCUGCCCGGUGCCGGAAGGUUACGUGGAGUUGUCAGGACUUGAUCCGAAGCAGCGAAGCUAAGCCCCGGUAAACGGCGGCCGUAACAAUAACGGUCCUAAGGUAGCGAAAUUCCUUGUCGGGUAAGUUCCGACCUGCACGAAUGGCGUAACGACUUGCGCGCUGUCUCAGCGAGGGGCUCGGUGAAAUUGCAGUCUCGGUGAAGAUGCCGAGUACCCGCGGCUAGACGGAAAGACCCCGUGAACCUUUACUACAACUUGAUAUUGGUGUUCGGUCCAUUUCGCUCAGGAUAGGUGGGAGGCUUUGAAGCACAGGCUGCGGCUAGUGUGGAGCUACCCUUGAGAUACCACCCUUGGUGUAUUGGACAUCUAACCUCACUCCGUGAAUCCGGGUGGGGAACAGUGUCAGGCGGGUAGUUUGACUGGGGCGGUCGCCUCCCAAAAUGUAACGGAGGCGCACAAAGGUUCCCUCAGCACGGUCGGAAAUCGUGCGUAGAGUGUAAAGGCAGCAAGGGAGCUUGACUGCGAGAGAGACGUCUCAAGCAGGUGCGAAAGCAGGUCUUAGUGAUCCGGCGGUAGCAAGUGGAAGUGCCGUCGCUCAACGGAUAAAAGGUACUCCGGGGAUAACAGGCUUAUCGGGCCCAAGAGCCCACAUCGACGGCCCGGUUUGGCACCUCGAUGUCGGCUCGUCGCAUCCUGGGGCUGAAGUAGGUCCCAAGGGUUGGGCUGUUCGCCCAUUAAAGCGGUACGCGAGCUGGGUUCAGAACGUCGUGAGACAGUUCGGUCCCUAUCUGCCGUGGGCGUUGGAGAGUUGAGAGGAUUUGCCCCUAGUACGAGAGGACCGGGGUGAACGGACCUCUGGUGUAUCUGUUGUCCUGCCAAGGGCACCGCAGGUUAGCUACGUCUGGAUCGGAUAACCGCUGAAAGCAUCUAAGCGGGAAGCCGGCCUCGAGAUAAGCUCUCCCAUCCCCUUGAGGGAGUAAGAGCCCUGGGAGACCACCAGGUUGAUAGGCCAGAUCUGGAAGUGCGGCAACGCAUGUAGGAGACUGGUACUAAUUGCUCGAGGGCUUGACGG